rnacentral:lncRNA from 1 species
GUUUAUUGUCAUUUAGAGUCCAAAGCCUGGCAGCGAUGGAGCGUUUGGCGGCAGCUGUGCACAGCUGCUCUUGCUUUAUGCCUUUUACAUGUUUUUAAAUUGCCCUGUUUGAAUCUGCAGCCGCCGAAGCAUCCCGGUUUGCAGAAGGGUGGUUCCUCCUGCCCUCUGACACUGGCAGGAGACUGCCCUACUCCCCAAACGACCCGACUCACCUUCCAGAAGUGUUCCUGGCUGAUCCAGUCUCACGCUGACUACUCCAUGCCUUCCGGUCACUGUCCAGCCCCUGUGAAACACCAGCAAGCACUCACGUGUGCAAAGCUUUUAAGUUUAUAGGCGGGUUUCGCAUGCCGUGUCUUAAUACUUGUCUCCCUGGAUUAAAUGAUUAAACAAGAUCAAACACUCGGGGCUCUAAACGCCUGGUGUUACCUCUUGAGCUGAUAAAUAGAAUUAGGGCUCCCAUUUAUUGACCACAUGUGAGAUGCCAGGCCUCUCUGCUCCACGCUCCUAGCACAUUAAUUCACAGAAUCUUGGCUGCCACUGUGGGAGAUAGCUGUCAGUUGUACCUGGGCUUUGGGAAGUGUGAAGAACUUAAGGCCAAGGUCAUGCAGUCAACACUCGUGCACAUUAGCUAACAGUUAGUAAUGUCAUUAGGGCAAGCGUCUCACUUGUCUGUCUGGAGGGCUGGCACAGAGCAGGCCAUGGAUGGAUCCUGUUGAGGAUGAGCCUGCAUGCCUGCAUGACCUGAGCUGUCCCAGUUGCUGUUUCUCAUCCCCGCCCUCUUCUCUUUCUCCUUACAGGCAUCAGACCCUGGAUCAUCCGAAGUCUAACUUAGCGCUCAGGCUGGUGUCUGACAUAUUCUUGAUUCACUGGAACGAGGACUGAAUACUGUCAGUCCCAGCAGUCCUCUGAGGAUGGUUUUAGGAACUCCAUCCUGCAGGAGGGAGGGGCCUGAGAGUGUGUGACACCUGCUCAAAUAACAGUGUCAGAGCCAGGAUUUUGGAUUCUGAGGCCCGAGUUUUUGUUUCGUUGUUUUGUUUUCUCACCAGCGGCCGCCCACCUAGCCACCUGGCAGGCAUUUGGGGGAGAUUCGGAAAUGUUUCCUCUUUGCUGCCAUCCUGUCUAGUAUCUGUGAAACACCCAUCACUCACCAGCUGCAGACAUUCUCCAGAAAGCUUCAGAACACCCUCGCAAAGGUGUCUGCUAUUGCCCCCAUUUUACAGAUGUGGAAGCAGGUUGAAGGAGGCUUCCUAGUAACUGACUGAGCUGCUUCCCGAGGUAAGGGUCAGAGUGACUGGGAUACAGGCUGGAGAGGGAUGACCUGCAAACCCAGCUUGGCAAGGGUUGGCAGGAGCAGAGGAGGGUCAGGAGAAGCUCCUAGAAGUCUCUUUCCCCUACUGGCCUUUGAGGGCAGAGGUGAGAUUUGGUAGACUCUUGAUAGGAAUUGUUCUGUGUGCAAGCAAGAACCGAGUUAGGUGGAGUGUAAGCAUUCUAGCCUGGCCUGGGUUGUCCCGAGUCCCUUCUGGUUUCAGUCUUGAACUUGUCCUUCCCUGCAAUGCAGAGAUGCGCAGGUGGGAGGGGAGGAUCUAUAGGCUGCUGUGUACAACUGGUCCUUAAGGUUUCUAUCAACCCCAUCCACAAUUUUUCCCACCAGCCUCCUGCCAGCACCAUGGAGUGAAGAGCAGUCUGGCCCAGGAUGCUGAGUUGGAUCCACUUAGACAUUCUCCAGCCCCCCCCCCCCCCAGUGCAUCCCUGUCCCUCCAUCCUUGCUGUACAGUGGUCUGCCUUCCUGCUCACAACCAGGCUCGGCAGGAAAAGCAGCCUACUCCUCCAGUUUCCCUGCUUCCUAAACAUUGCUGAUGCCCGAAGGCUGCUCUCAGCUCUUCUCCUGGCAGAGGUUACCACACUGAAUGGAUAGACGUGCCGGCUUUUAGUGAGCAACACAGGCCUUGAUGCCAGUAAAACACGAGGCAUGAUGGAAAGGGACUGGCCAUUGCUUUGGUUUGCAGACAGAGAUCCCAUCAUCUGCAGGAGGAUUUGAGUGUGAUGAAGCCAUUCAUAGGAAGAUCUAGAUGAAGAACAUCCCAUGCUCAGUGAGCAGGAAGUACAAAGGCCCUGGGGUUAGAGAGAACUUUUCCGACUCCAGGAACCAGAGGAGGCUGGCCUUAGCGGUGACAACAGGCAGGAUCUUGGUGACACUUUCUAUUUCCCCGUAAGUACAAUAGCAGCUCUUGGGGGCUUGGGUCUAGGGAAAACUCUGACUUGAUUUAUAUGUCUCUCUCUGCCUUUUGUACUGAUAACAGAGAGACCAUUAAGAGCUCUGAGGUCAGAAGAUGGAGCAGUCAUUAUUUAAGUGCCUGCGUGUAAACAUGAAGAGCAGAGUUCAGUCAAACAAGCUGGGCAUGGUGCCAUGAGCUUGUAAUCCUUAGGUUGGAGAGAUGGAGACAAGAGACUUCUAGGGACGAGCUGGCUAGUCAGUCUAGGCAAAUAAGUGAACUUCAGGUUCAGGAGAGACUCCAUCUCAAAGGAGGCGGAUGCUGUUCUUGAUGACAUCACCGAAAGUUGUCUUUAGCUUUUCACACACUUUCCUGCAAGCAUGUACGCACACACACACACACACACACACAUACACAUGAAAAAAAUAAUUGUGCCAGUUACUAGUCCAACAUCACAGUCUUCUACAGAUACUCAGUAUCCCAUCCUAGCUCCUUUAGGUCUUACACCGACACAUCGCGUUCCAGGAAUAACUUUAUCCCUUACCUUUUCAAAGUUCCUGUUCAGUCCUCAGAACCCAGCUCCUGGGUAUCCUUCUGGGGAGCCCUUCUCCCUCACCCGUGGCAGGAUAAAUUCACACCCUCACUGCCAUUACCAGUUCUAACAACAGGCUCAUACAGUGUGUUUCUCGUCCCUCUUUCCACUAGGUCAGGAGUCCUUCCAACAUGAAGAUCUAACUCUGAUGGUCUUGGAGACCACAGACCUUCCCUAGCCUGGUCUGGGAGGGAUGCCUGGCAAAUGCUUUCUGGGCUAACGUGAGUUAUUUGAGCACUCGAGUCGCUAGCAGAAGCACUGCGUUAGCGAGUCCCCUUUGUUUGAACAAACAAGAUUAGAAGCAUUGCACUGUUUGUUCUUCCUGGUGAGGCUCUAGCAAAUCCACACUUUGUGGGACUUCUGGCCUCUGGAGGGCCCCUCAGUGUUUUCUAAAAGCAUAGCCCGUGAGAGUUAAAAUUUGAAUAGAUAUCUCUCAAGAGCUGGUCCUGUAUUCCUGUAUUACCUUGAGACAAAUGUUUGUUAAUAUAUAUAUAUAUAUAUAUAUGUAUUCUAGUUGCUAGAAUACAUGUUGUAAAUACUUGCGUUUGAAAAUGUACACUUCCGGGAUGCUUUGUGGGUUCCUGUGCAUGUUCACGUACGACUAGAAAUCUGUUUGUCACAGAUGCUUCCCAGGUCUGGUGGUUGUUUUCUCUAUCCUAAUUAAUCUAUUGAUGUAGAAUUAUGCAUCUUUCCCCAUAAGCCGGGAGUGUAUUUAAAAGCUCAUUUCCUUGCCUGAGAUACAUGCAAAUAAAAGUUAAAG